rnacentral:rRNA from 1 species
UACGGAGGGUGCAAGCGUUGUUCGGAAUUAUUGGGCGUAAAGCGCACGUAGGCGGGCUUGUAAGUCGAUUGUGAAAGCCCCGGGCUCAAUCCGGGAAUUGCAGUUGAAACUACAAGUCUUGAAUGUCUGAGAGGGUGACGGAAUUCCUGGUGUAGAAGUGAAAUUCGUAGAUAUCAGGAGGAACACCGGAGGCGAAGGCGGUUACCUGGCAGAGCAUUGACGCUGAGGUGCGAAAGCGUGGGGAGCAAACAGG